AUAAGCAACAUCAAGUGGACAGGGACAGGCUGCCAACACCGUACCUGCCCAAGGCCAGAGGGAGCACUUAUUUUCACCAGGAAUUUGAAGUGGGUUAAUGGACAGAGUAUACAAGCACUGACAAACUAAGAUAGUGCUGAAGCAUUAAAGAAGAGCAUUCAAGCACCCAUGUCAAGGCCCCUAAUUAGCUGUUAAGCAUGCUGUGUUGGCUUUCCAAAGCUGGUUGGAAGGAUAAGUGUAAGAGGCUGGGAAAUAGAUACUUUUUCAAUUUGGUCUAAGGCUGUCUACUGAUGCUGAGUACAUCUUGCUGACCAUACUUGUUUAAUGUAAUUCGCUCAAACUACAUGACAGAAUGUGGCUGAACUUUAAAAUGAUACAACACAAAUAAAAGGAACAAGCCCUAGGAAGGAACUUCAGUAUUUGACCAUCAGGGUCAUCACGUUACACCACAAAUGGUGAUACUAUUCUUGCAACCAUAAUCUUGUGCUUCCUUUGACGUGUUAAGACCACCUAACACUUGUACACUUCAACAGCUGAAAGCAUUCAGCACUUCAAUCUUCUCCCUUCCUCUCAGUAUGAGCUGCUGUUGUGGGUUGACUCCAGCCAACAUCUGAACACUUGGACUCUCUCACUCACUCCCUUCUCCCACGGGACAAGGAGAAAAUAGAAGGAAGACGGGAAGACUUGUGGAUUGAGAUAAAGACAGUUUAACAGGUGAAGCAAAAGCUGUGCCUGCAAGCAAAGAAAAGAAGGAAUUUAUUCACUGCUUCCUGUUGGCAGGCAGAUGUUCAGCUACUACCUGGAAAGUGGGAUCUCAGCGUGCAUAAUGGUGGCUUGGAAAGAUAAACGCCAUGAUCACAAAGGCAACUGCUGUUAAGGAAAUGCUAAAAAAGAGAAACCAGAAAUCCUCCCAGACAGAGGUCACUCUGGAGAUCUGAUUUCCAACAUAAACACCUCUUAUGCCAAUGCAAAAAAUGGCUAACUUUAGCAAAAUCAAAGAUAACACCUUAUUUUUGUUCCCUCUUCUGGCUUCCUGAGUAAGUGGAUGGCUGGUUUGAGAGUUAACUAGCAAUGAUAACCUGUAGCUAGUCAGUUCUUUAUUCAGCCUCGUGAAGGACCUGUAACUUUUGUCUCGUCUGAUGUAAUAAAUGUUCAGCUUGAGUGGAGAAAGCAGUUUUUGCAUUGUUUACUGCCUUUGGCUGCAAGCAAAGGAAAUCUCUACUGCAUUGCUAACUGAGAUUCCAAAGUACAGGAGAGACCUUUAAGUUUCCUAAAAAAUGUGUUUUGCCUUCUCACGCCUUUGCUAAAAGUUGAUUCACUGCACUCCAUUGAACAAGGUCUUUACACACUUUAGAAGUAUUUUGUAUGGAACUAUAAUUACCAUUUGUGAUUAAUUCUACCUACACUGGAAAGCUGCGUGAGCUUCUAACAAAAGUUAUGUUUUAAGUAACUAUAUCACAGGUACUUACAAUAUAAUUUGACAAGUGUUAAGACUGAGGGUGGAAAAAAGGGAUAGGAAGAAGAAAUGUAGGCUAAGAGCUCUCUGCUAUUAGAAGGAUGGCUGAAGAGACUGCAUGGGAGUAAUAAGAACAAUUUCUCUUUUGACAGAUGAUCCUGAUGAGCACUAAAUACCUGAAAAUCCAGUUCUUUGCAAAUCUUGGUCUUGGCAAGAGUUAGUUUUAGUUAUCCUACUAAAAGCAGUAACGCAGUUGUAUUCAAUAUACAGUUGGUCCUCAGCUGGUCCUCCCAACACACAUGGGCAAAGGAAGAGAAGAAAUUUUGAAAGAAUAUACAUGUAAUUUAUCUCUGUAUUCCUUUUUCUAUGCAAGAGAUGUAAAAGAGGGGAAAUGUGCAGCCUCUUAAUUUGCAACAGGUACAAGAGUGUCUGAAAAAAAUUAAACUAUUCUGGCUGUGACACUUACUAAGAUAUUCUAAUUUGCAGAAUUUGACCUCUGGGGACUCCUGAGCUGAGAAAGCAUGAACUGUAAUUGAUGCUGUUCUGCCACCCCACUGCACUGACUGCUGUGGUGGUGGGGAAGCAUAGCUGUGCUAUUUCUGACGUUUGUAUUGCCAAUACAACCUUUUAACCACAUAAAAAUAACUCAUUCUAGAACUUGUUAGCAAAUCCCCUUCAAAAUAUUGCUGA